rnacentral:rRNA from 1 species
AGCAGUCGCCGCGGUAAUACGUAGGGUGCAAGCGUCAAUCGGAAUUACUGGGCGUAAAGCGUGCGCAGGCGGUUCUAUAAGACAGAUGUGAAAUCCCCGGGCUCAACCUGGGAACUGCAUUUGUGACUGUAGAGCUGGAGUGCGGCAGAGGGGGAUGGAAUUCCGCGUGUAGCAGUGAAAUGCGUAGAUAUGCGGAGGAACACCGAUGGCGAAGGCAAUCCCCUGGGCCUGCACUGACGCUCAUGCACGAAAGCGUGGGGAGCAAACAGGAUUAGAGACCCCAGUAGUCCCUGUCUCUUAUAA